rnacentral:rRNA from 1 species
UACGGGGGGAGCAAACGUUGUUCGGAAUCACUGGGCGUAAAGGGCGUGUAGGCGGCUGGAUAAGUGGGAUGUUAAAUCCCCCGGCUCAACCGGGGGACCUGCAUCUCAUACUGUUCAGCUCGAGCACAUCAGAGGAGACUGGAAUUCCCGGUGUAGCGGUGAAAUGCGUAGAUAUCAGGAGGAACACCGGUGGCGAAGGCGGGUCUCUGGGCCGAUACUGACGCUGAGGAGCGAAAGCGUGGGGAGCGAACAGG